rnacentral:rRNA from 1 species
GAACUUAAGCAUAUCAAUAAGCGGAGGAAAAGAAACUAACAAGGAUUCCCUUAGUAGCGGCGAGCGAAGCGGGAUGAGCUCAAAUUUGAAAGCUGGCGUCCUUCGGGCGUCCGCAUUGUAAUCUAUAGAGGCGUUUUCUGUGCUGGACCGUGUCCAAGUCCCUUGGAACAGGGUAUCAAAGAGGGUGACAAUCCCGUACUUGACACGACAACCAGUGCUCUGUGAUACGUCUUCUACGAGUCGAGUUGUUUGGGAAUGCAGCUCAAAAUGGGUGGUGAAUUCCAUCUAAAGCUAAAUAUUGGCGAGAGACCGAUAGCGAACAAGUACCGUGAGGGAAAGAUGAAAAGUACUUUGGAAAGAGAGUUAAACAGUAUGUGAAAUUGUUGAAAGGGAAACGAUGGAGGUCAGUCGUGUCUGUGGGAUUCAGCCGUCUCUGGCGGUGUACUUCCCACAGACGGGUCAACAUCAGUUUUGGUCGGCGGAUAAAGGCAGGAGGAAGGUGGCACCCCCGGGUGUGUUAUAGCCUCUUGUUGCAUACGCUGGCCGAGACUGAGGAAUGCAGCUCGCCUUUGUGGCCGGGGUUCGCCCACGUUCGAGCUUAGGAUGUUGACAUAAUGGCCUUCAACGACCCGUCUUGAAACACGGACCAAGGAGUCUAACAUAUCUGCGAGUGUUUGGGUGUCAAACCCAAGCGCGCAAUGAAAGUGAAUGCAGGAGGGAUCCGCAAGGAGCACCUUCGACCGAUCUGGAUCUUCUGUGAUGGAUUUGAGUAAGAGCAUAUAUGCUGGGACCCGAAA